CACGUCUAAGUCAGUCGACAAAUAAUGUUUGUUUUUGUUGCUGUAAAUUCCAGGUCAUGAUCCCGGAUAACUAUACUGAGUUCAUGAACGGACUAACUUCGUUAGUGAAAAGUAAGUCCAUUCUGAUGAGCCGGAUUGAUGAUGCCGUGAAGAGAAUACUCAAGAGUUAAGUUCACAAUGGGCCUUCUCGAAAACCCACAAGCUGAUUACAGCAUGACUAACUAUUUAGGCAGUCAGGCACAUAGAACUGGCAAGAGAAGCAGUGAGGAAAUCCCUAGUCCAGUUGUUUUGUAGGAGCAAGCAUCUAGCUAGACAUUGUAGCUUUAUUUCAAGAAAAAUUACACAGAAGAUAAAACAAUGCUCCACUUCUGCACAAGGUUAUGAAUCAGGCACCAUAGAGGCCAAGAACCGAGAGAUGAUUCCAGAAAGUCUGUGCGCCUGCAUACAACGCGCUAGCUCAAGACACAGGUAUGUAUGGUAUGCAUUAGUUGCCAAAGCUGUAGUUUUUUUAACUCUGUUGAACGAUUCUCUGCGUCUCAGUUUUACUUUCUGCCUGCAUUCUAGCAGAUAUUUUGUUAGAGGUUGGUGCUGUGCAUAUUAACAAUAGAUGAAUUUGUAGGUAGUGAUAAUGGGAGUAGAAGCAUGAGUUAGUGCUCCUAAUGGAAAUCCAAUUCAAAUAUUAUUUGAAAAUUGAAGCGUUUCGCCGCUUCCGGAUUAGUUGCCCAGCUCUAAUUUGCAGUUGAUGAUUAAACACAAAUGUACCAAUGAGUAACCAUUUUUUGAAUGCGAAGAUGUGAAUUGGAAUCCACUUUGGAUAAAACA